rnacentral:lncRNA from 1 species
GGGGGAGGUUGAUGGCUUCGAAGGAUUGGCUGAUGUGCUUGCUAGUUUGAGCCUACGGCUUUGAGUGAGGACAAGAUUUAUUUGACGUCCACACACAGAUAGUCUCUGAUUCGGUCACGAUGAGCUUGGAUAAAGCUUUGUCCGCCUGGGUGAGCGGCACAUUGGAGUGAAGGAUCUGGAUGACUUGUUCAAGCUGUUCAUCCA